UAAACACCACUGGGUGAUGGGGUACUGAUUAAUUCCCUUGAGGUUUUGAACUUUUUCAUAAAACGAUCCGGUAGACCAUAAAAGAUGAAACUCACAGCAUGCUCUUUAUGAUAAGAUUCUUUUUAUUAGGUAUCUAUCUCACUUUUUUCAUUUUUUUCUCUAGUUUCUUGGGUAUCAUGCCUUCAGCAGUGGAGGAAAUGACAGAAGCCUGUUCCCCAAGCUACUGAUCAAAGACUUCUACAGUGGAGGCUUGCCUCUGUUGAGUUGCUUAAGUAACACUAUUGCUGUACCUGUGAUGAAUCCAAAACGCAAGAGGAUCUACUAAGAUUCAUAGAAUUGACAAAACUAAUUCACUGGCAUUGGAGUCUCGUAUGGACUGCUGAAGUUGAAAGACUGUCAUAAAGGAAUUAGUCAUCAGAACAGGAAGCUUGAAGCAAAGAUAAACUCUGAGCAGCAGGAAUAGCGGUUGCAAUGUAUUAAGCAAAACUGCUAACAACCAUUCCUUUUUGAAGAGAGGAAAAAGUGAUUCUGCAAUGUCACUGACCACAUGCUCUGCACAAAAAGGAGUUACCCUUUGCCAGUGAAGAUUUAAGAAUGUUGCUGACCAAGAUUUUAGCCUUGAAGCUGCAAUUAAAAGCAUUGAAAAAAUGUCCUGUGAGCUGAAGAAGCUAAAUGGUAAUUCUGAGUUCAUUGUAAAAAAAAAAAAUAGGUUCAUGCUGUUUUGUUGUAAAGUUAUUUCUUCUUCCUAAUAAAAAAAAAUCCUGUUUAAUGAAAAAUUAAAGAAACAGUAUUUAUGAUAGAUAAAAAUAGGGUCAUAUUGGCCAAACUUGGAAAGACCUGUUAUAAUUUCUCUACAAAUAUGUUUUUAGGCUAACAAUUGAAGAUUUGUAUGGUAACACACUGGUACCAAACUUUAUUUUCCUGCCUUGUAGCAAAGCUGCUAUUUUUUCCAAGUUAGGUAACAAUUGAAUUAUGUAUAUGUAAAAAAUCUUUGCAGUAAAUUGCUCAUAUAAAACCAAUUCAUACUUGAAGAUUGACUUUUAUCUUACAGUGGAAGCCCAGCUGUUACUCUGUGACCUGACUUUCAAUUUCAGUCAUCCUGUAAAGACAAAAGUAUUAAGAGAAGUUGAGGAAAACAACACAGAGUUAGAAUAAAUCUAUAAUUCUGUCCACUUUCACGUAUCUUCUUCCAUUAACAGUUCUUCUAUUUGAGCUCUUAAAUUACAACCUGGUUUUCUGCUCUCUUUUUUUAAUGAGUUAAAAAGUCAUAAUCUAAAGUAGAAAAGUAGAAGACCAAAAUGCAUGAAUAUCAUACUGUUUUGAGACAUUUUUACUGAUAGACAGCUUUAAUUAAAAUAAUAAAAAGAUAAAUAAUUGGU